UACGUAGGGCGCAAGCGUUGUCCGGAAUUAUUGGGCGUAAAGAGCUCGUAGGCGGCUUGUCACGUCGGAUGUGAAAGCCCGGGGCUUAACUCCGGGUCUGCAUUCGAUACGGGCUGGCUAGAGUGUGGUAGGGGAGAUCGGAAUUCCUGGUGUAGCGGUGAAAUGCGCAGAUAUCAGGAGGAACAUCAGUGGCGAAGGCGGCCUGCUGGGCUGUUGCUGACGCUGAGGCGCGACAGCGUGGGGAGCAAACAGG
rnacentral:rRNA from 1 species